AAUAGAUACCCGGGUAGUCCACGCUGUAAACGUUGGACACUAGGUGUGGCGGUCUGAUCAACGACUGCCGUGCCGAAGCUAACGCAUUAAGUGUCCCGCCUGGGGAGUACGGCCGCAAGGCUAAAACUCAAAGGAAUUGACGGGUCCCCGCACAAGCGGCGGAGCAUGCGGCUUAAUUCGAUGCAACCCGAAGAACCUUACCUGGGUUUGACAUCAUGGGAAAAGCCGUGGAAACACGGUGUCCGAAAGGGCCCAUGACAGGUGGUGCAUGGCUGUCGUCAGCUCGUGUCGUGAGAUGUUGGGUUAAGUCCCGCAACGAGCGCAACCCUUGUCCUAUGUUGCCAGCGGUUCGGCCGGGGACUCAUAGGAGACUGCCGGGGAUAACUCGGAGGAAGGUGAGGACGAUGUCAAGUCAUCAUGCCCCUUAUAUCCAGGGCUGCACGCAUGCUACAAUGGUCGGUACAACGGGCAGCGAUCCUGCGAAGGUGAGCGAAUCCCACAAAGCCGGCCUCAGUUCGGAUUGGAGU
rnacentral:rRNA from 1 species